rnacentral:rRNA from 1 species
UCCCGCUAGGCCGGCUAGGCUCAACACAUGCUAGUCGAGCGCUCUCGCAAGGGAGCGGCAGACGGGUGAGUAACGCGUGGGAAUCUACCCUUUUCUACGGAAUAACGCAGGGAAACUUGUGCUAAUACCGUAUGAGCCCUUCGGGGGAAAGAUUUAUCGGGAAAGGAUGAGCCCGCGUUGGAUUAGCUAGUUGGUUGGGUAAAGGCCUACCAAGGCGACGAUCCAUAGCUGGUCUGAGAGGAUGAUCAGCCCAUUUUGGUCUAAAACACGGCCCAAACUCCUACGGGAGGCAGCAGUGGGGAAUAUUGGACAAUGGGCGCAAGCCUGAUCCAGCCAUGCCGCGUGAGUGAUGAAGGCCCUAGGGUUGUAAAGCUCUUUCACCGGUGAAGAUAAUGACGGUAACCGGAGAAGAAGCCCCGGCUAACUUCGUGCCAGCAGCCGCGGUAAUACGAAGGGGGCUAGCGUUGUUCGGAAUUACUGGGCGUAAAGCGCACGUAGGCGGAUUGUUAAGUGAGGGGUGAAAUCCCAGGGCUCAACCCUGGAACUGCCUUUCAUACUGGCAAUCUAGAGUCCAGAAGAGGUGAGUGGAAUUCCGAGUGUAGAGGUGAAAUUCGUAGAUAUUCGGAGGAACACCAGUGGCGAAGGCGGCUCACUGGUCUGGAACUGACGCUGAGUGCGAAAGCGUGGGGAGCAAACAGGAUUAGAUACCCUGGUAGUCCACGCCGUAAACGAUGAUUGCUAGUGUCGGGCUGCAUGCAGUUCGGUGACGCAAGCUACGCAUAGCAUCCGCCUGGG